GACGUAGGAUGCAAGCGUUGUCCGGAUUUAUUGGGCGUAAAGAGUUCGUAGGUGGUUCGUUAAGUCUGAUGUUAAAGACCGGGGCUCAACUUCGGGACUGCAUUGGAUACUGGCGGACCUGAGUGUGGUAGAGGCAAUCGGAAUUCCAGGUGUAGCGGUGAAAUGCGUAGAUAUCUGGAAGAACACCGGUGGCGCAAGCGGAUUGCUGGGCCAUAACUGACACUGAGGAACGAAAGCUAGGGGAGCGAAUGGG
rnacentral:rRNA from 1 species